AAAGUGAAGUGUUAAAGUUCAAUUUGUACGUUUGAGUAAAAUUACUUUGAAGUUUCUUAAGCAAUUUUCCAUUCCAUAUCAAAUGUAUGGGCCCGCAAAGAAAAAUACAGUUUACCGUUUGUUCCAAACAAUAAGAUGCUUCUAACUGGUAAUGUUAACGAAUCACAAACAAUUGCAAUUAUGUUGAACAUUAUAAAAUCUAGAGCUUUCAACAGUAAAAAACGUUUCCAGUAAUCCAAUCCAAAUUGUGCCAAUGUAUUGAAGUGUCCUCAAAUUGUUCAACAAUAUAGCGUAGACACCGGUGAGAAAUAGUGACAACAUAUAAUCACCUUCUAUAAAACUGUUUUGGUUUAUUUUCACACAACACAUUUACAUAUAUACCAUACACCAUAUAAAAAAGUAUUAUAACAAUUCGGUGAAUAGUUAAACGCAUUUCAUUAUUAUACACGCUUGAAAAUUAAUACUGCGAUGACAAGGUUUAAAAGUUUUUACAUAGCGGUGAAAAAUACUUAUUUUCUCAAAAAUUAAUACACAUAGUCAAUCAACUCAACAAUUUCAAUAUUCUAUUUUUGCAUAUUAUAAUAAAUAUGAAGAAAAUAAUAAAAGAAAAUUUGCCACCGUUUAUGAUUUACACAUUGACUGUGUUGAAUUUUUUCAACGUGUUCUUUGCACUAAGCUGACAGAAAUAGAAAAAUAAAACCCGUCGCGAUUUUGCCAGUUGUAAAUAUUCUGUUUUUAUUUUAAAUAGAGAACUCACUCGGAUCUUGUGCCGGAUUUGGAACUGCAGAUUUGCAAGUCGGCUGCUUCUGCGAGAUCCUCCGAAAAAAAUCCGUCUGCCGCACAAUACCAAGGAACAGCAACGCAAAAAACCGGCAGCCAAUACGAGAAAGGAAGAUGAGGUAAUCUGGAUCGAAGAUGGAAACAUGGAACUCGUUCGCUUUCGGACUACUAGCAGCAAUAUUGAUCUGGAAGAAUGGAUCCCAGAGGUCCCGGAGCUGCAACUGCUUCUCUCUUUUCAAAGAUUUUCGAGUCGGCUGCUUCUGCGAGAUCCUCCGAAAAAAAUGCCGUCUUUGCCACACAACACCAAGGAACAGCAACGCAAAACGCCGGCAGCCAAUACGAGAAAGGAAGAUGAGGUCAUCUGGAUCAAGGAUGGAAACAUGGAACUAGUUCUCUUUCGGACUACUAGCUGCAAUAUUGAUCUCGAAGAGGUCACGGAGCUGAAAGUUUGAAACCCUACGACAGACAUACGUGAAAAAGUGUAUAGAAGAGUGUAGCGAAAAAGACGAGGCUUAACAGAUCAUUAAUAAUACUAAAUGAUGAUAAUUGAACAACUUUUUUUUUUCAAAUGUUAUCUCAUUUCAAACUAAACCAAAUUUUUUAGUUUAUUUGUGUAUUUCAUUGACUGAGUUACAAAUGUUUUAUUAAAAGUGAGUUUUUCAACAUGUAUCUACUUGUUUCGUUGUGUUUUAUGGAAUAUUUUUAUGACAUUUUCUU